UUUACCAAUUUCUACAUACAAGGAAAUCCACCCAACCAAAUUCAUCCAACAAUUCUGCUCUCAAUUGUACUACUCUUCCUUUUUUGACUCUCAUUUCUUCUCACCACAUGCAUAAAGUGUUCUUUGUUUAAGGAAAAUGUUUUGUAUAUUGUUUAAUAUAAGCAUUGUACGUUCAAUCAUGUCUGUGCGACACAGCUUAUAGUUUAGGGUUUAGAGUUUUAAGGUUUAGUCUAAGCAUAGUACAUUUAGUUCUUAUUUUUGACAAUCAAAGUAAUCCAUGUGGAA
rnacentral:lncRNA from 1 species